AUGGGAAUGGAGAUGAUCACGAAUGUGUCCGAGUACGAGAGGCUCGCCAAGGAGAAGCUGCCCAAGAUGGUGUACGACUACUACGCCUCCGGCGCAGAGGAUCAGUGGACGCUCAACGAGAACAGGGAGGCCUUCUCCAGAAUCCUGUUCCGACCACGCGUACUGAUCGAUGUGUCCCAUAUCAACAUGGCCACAAACAUCUUGGGCUUCGACGUCUCCAUGCCGAUCAUGAUCGCUCCCACGGCCAUGCAGAAAAUGGCUCACCCUGAAGGAGAGCUUGCUACUGCAAGAGCAGCAGCAUCUGCAGGGACCAUAAUGACAUUGUCUUCAUGGGCUACUUCUAGUGUGGAAAGGGUUAACUCAGUAGGACCCGGGAUACGUUUCUUCCAGCUUUAUGUUUACAAGGACAGGAAUAUAGUUCGGCAACUCGUGAAAAGGGCUGAAAUGGCCGGGUUCAAGGCGAUCGCCCUCACCGUCGACACUCCGAGGCUCGGCCGCAGGGAAGCUGAUAUCAAGAACAGGUUCAACUUGCCUCCACAUCUGGUGCUGGAGAACUUUGCGGCGCUGGACCUCGGCAAGAUGGACAAGACAGAUGAUUCUGGGUUGGCUUCCUAUGUUGCUAGCCAGGUCGACCAAUCUCUUUGUUGGGAGGACGUCAGGUGGCUGCAGACAAUUACCUCGUUACCGAUCUUGGUGAAAGGGGUCAUGACUGCAGAAGACACUAGGAUUGCCAUCGAAUACGGCGCGGCCGGCAUCAUCGUGUCCAACCAUGGCGCUCGGCAGCUGGACUACGUCCCUGCAACCAUCAGCUGCCUGGAAGAGGUGGUCAGAGAGGCGAAGGGGCGGCUGCCGGUGUUCCUCGACGGCGGCGUCCGGCGCGGCACCGACGUGUUCAAGGCGCUGGCACUGGGAGCCGCGGGAGUAUUUAUCGGGAGGCCGGUGCUGUACUCGCUGGCGGUGGACGGCGAGGCGGGGGUGCGGAAGGUGCUGCAGAUGCUGCGGGACGAGCUGGAGCUGGCCAUGGCGCUCAGCGGGUGCCCGUCGCUCCGGGACAUCACCCGCGCCCACGUCGUCACAGACGGCGACAGGAUCCGCCGCGCACGCCUCUAG
rnacentral:rRNA from 1 species